rnacentral:rRNA from 1 species
UAGGGAAUCUUCGGCAAUGGACGGAAGUCUGACCGAGCAACGCCGCGUGAGUGAAGAAGGUUUUCGGAUCGUAAAGCUCUGUUGUAAGAGAAGAACGAGUGUGAGAGUGGAAAGUUCACACUGUGACGGUAUCUUACUAGAAAGGGGCGGCUAACUACGUGCCAGCAGCCGCGGUAAUACGUAGGUCCCGAGCGUUGUCCGGAUUUAUUGGGCGUAAAGCGAGCGCAGGCGGUUAGAUAAGUCUGAAGUUAAAGGCUGUGGCUCAACCAUAGUUCGCUUUGGAAACUGUCAAACUUGAGUGCAGAAGGGGAGAGUGGAAUUCCAUGUGUAGCGGUGAAAUGCGUAGAUAUAUGGAGGAACACCGGUGGCGAAAGCGGCUCUCUGGUCUGUAACUGACGCUGAGGCUCGAAAGCGUGGGGAGCGAACAGGAUUAGAUACCCUGGUAGUCCACGCCGUAAACGAUGAGUGCUAGGUGUUGGAUCCUUUCCGGGAUUCAGUGCCGCAGCUAACGCAUUAAGCACUCCGCCUGGGGAGUACGACCGCAAGGUUG